rnacentral:lncRNA from 1 species
UUAGUCGUUUAGUCGUGUCCGCCUCUUGGUGACCCCCUGGACCAGAGCACGCCAGGCACUCCUGUCUUCCACUGCCUCCCGCAGUUUGGUCAGACUCACGUUCGUAGCUUCGAGAACACUGUCCCACCAUCUGGUCCUCCGUCGUCCCCUUCUCCUUGCGCCCUCCAUCUUUCCCAACAUCAGGGUCUUUUCCAGGGAGUCUUCUCUUCUCAUGAGGUGGCCAAAGUCUCGGAGCCUCAGCUUCAGGAUCUGUCCUUCCAGUGAGCACUCAGGGCUGAUUUCCUUAAGAAUGGAGAGGUUUGAUCUUCUUGCAGUCCAUGGGACUCUCAAGAGUCUCCUCCAGCACCAGAAUUCAAAAGCAUCCAUUCUUCAGCGAUCAGCCUUCUUGAUGGUCCAGCUCUCACUUCCAUACAUCACUAC